CUCAUUGAAAAAAAAUGUUUAAGGGGACAUUUCUCUCUCCUAAACUUUUUAUGUUCCAUUGAAGACCUGGAAAACAUGUUAAAUAAAAAUGCUUUGCCACAGCUGACCUAUGUCUUCUGGCUUGUACCCCACAACAUCUUAUCUAAUGGAGCCAGUCUUGGUGCUCUGUGUUCACCUGGUUCAUCUGAGGAGCUGCAUCUACCCUGCCCAUGCCAUAGAUCCUGCCCUGUUUGCUUCUCCUGUUGCUGCUAGUGGACAUGAGGACAGAAUAACGGGCUCCCAGAUUCACAAGCCCCACCAAGAGGAUCACCCCAGGAACGCUUGGAGGCUGAGGAGUUCACUGAGGCUACUGCAUCUUGAGACUCAGGAUGAAGACCCAGCUUGGGGCUGUCAAAGGUUUUUUGCAUGUCUGACACCCAUGACUCCACCUGGACCUUAUGGCUCCACCCAGAAGCAAUUCAGCCCAACAGGAGGACAGCUUCAACCCAUUACGAUUUCAUCUCUGCCCCAACCACUCAGCAGCAAGCACCUGUUACCUGUCCACCCCCACCCCUUCCCCCAAACUGCCUUUGAAAAAUCCCUAACCUAUGAGCUUUGAAUAAGAUGAGUACGAACUUCAUCGCCCACGUGGCGUGGCCGGCCUCGUGUCUAUUAAAUUCUUUUUCUACUACAA
rnacentral:lncRNA from 1 species